rnacentral:sRNA from 1 species
UCGGUCCGCCUCAGCGGUGGGGAGCGAGCCAGGCCUCCCGCCACCGCUGCUGCCGCCACCACUGCAUCGGGCUGGUGCAGCCCCGGGCCAGGCCGCGGCCGGGGCAGGAGCGCAGCCAUACUGGAAGCUCCAGAAGAAAGAGCACCCCCCGGAAGUCAGCAGGGAAACGCAGAGAACUCCUAUGAACCACCAAAAGGCUGUAAAUGAUGAAACAUGCAAAGCUAGCCACAUAACACCAAGUAUCUUUCCUUCACCCUCUCUCGGUAAAUCAUCAUCUCGAAAGCCAUUUGGGAUCCUUUCUCCAAAUGUUCUGUGCAGUAUGAGUGGGAAGAGUCCUGUAGAGAGCACCUUGAAUGUUAAAACCAAAAAGAAUGCACCAUCUGCAACGAUCCACCAGGGCGAAGAAGAAGGACCACUUGAUAUCUGGGCUGUUGUGAAACCUGGAAAUACCAAGGAAAAAAUUGCAUUCUUUGCAUCCCACCAGUGUAGUAACAGGAUAGGAUCUAUGAAAAUAAAAAGUUCCUGGGAUAUUGAUGGGAGAGCUACUAAGAGAAGGAAAAAAUCAGGGGAUCUUAAA